rnacentral:lncRNA from 1 species
CUAUAGGAUUGACACUCUACAUUGAUACUUCUUAUUAUCGAUUAACUAUUGUCUCCACCCUGCAUUCUCCUAUUAAUAUUGAUCCAAAUUUACAAUAUACAUUAACUCCCCCAUCUUUGAAAAAAAAAAAAAUUAACUCCGACAUCUGAUGUCUACAUGAGGGACAUUACAGUCGACAACAGUAUUCAAGGCAAAUAUGACAUCCUCAAUUAAAGCAAAAAGGUCAAUAAUCACUCCGCACCAGCACCAGCCACAGCCCGGCUCUCUCCUCCCUUGUCAUAGGCAUCCUACAAUCCCCUCGCCAUUUCCAUCAAUCCCCUCACCAUUUCUCCUCUCACUGGCAAUCUUCUCUUCAUUUCCCCACUCCCUUAACCCUCUUCUUUCCUCUAUCAUAUGAUCCCAGUUUCCCAACUUCCUUUCUGUUUCGCUAACUUUCCAGCAACUCCUCUUCACAUCUUCCCCAUAUGUAGAUUGGCGGUGGUGAUUCUGGUGAGGUAAGGGGGGCU